rnacentral:lncRNA from 1 species
CCCGGAGAGGGGCGGAGCCUGAGGGCUCCGUAGCCCGCCUCACCCAGCGCAGCUUCCCGGAAGACUCUGAAAGAGCAAGCAUGCCCAUUCUUCCAGACUGAGAUCUUACAGAGAAAACGUCUCACCUGAAUUCCACCCAGAACAAUUCUCAACCUAGAAAAUGGUCUCCUAAACGACUGUAAUUAUGAGCAUCUUCCAGACGCGGCAGAGACCGCUAGCUACUCACAGGUAGUGCAUGCCACCUCCGCCCGCAGCACAGUGCGACAACGCCCAACCUUUCUCCAGGUUGCUACAGGGAGACUCUAAACUAGAGGUAGAGUGGAAGAGCCUGGGUUCCAGAGUUACCUGGUGGGCAACAUCUGCACCCCACUGAUCUGCACAGCUGCAGGGUAUGAAGUUGCCUUCUGCUGUCAGCACCUCUGCAUGUCCCAGGCGUCCCCAUCUCAGCAGCUGUAGCCUACUCUAAAAUGACAUCUGAUAAACUAUUGUUCUGGAGAGAGUGAUAAAAUGAAUGUUUCUGAAUUUUCACCUGCAAAAAUAAUGGCAAUAAAAACAGUCAGUCAUUAGAUGUAAGAUCA